CAGCCGCCACGGGAAUACAGAGGGUGCGAGCGUUAAUCGGAUUUACUGGGCGUAAAGCGUGCGUAGGCGGCUUCUUAAGUCGGAUGUGAAAUCCCUGAGCUUAACUUAGGAAUUGUAUUCGAUACUGGGAAGCUAGAGUAUGGGAGAGGAUGGUAGAAUUCCAGGUGUAGCGGUGAAAUGCGUAGAGAUCUGGAGGAAUACCGAUGGCGAAGGCAGCCAUCUGGCCUAAUACUGACGCUGAGGUACGAAAGCAUGGGGAGCAAACAGGAUUAGAUACCCCGGUAGUCCCUGUCUCUUAUCC
rnacentral:rRNA from 1 species